rnacentral:rRNA from 1 species
GGCUCAGAACGAACGCUGGCGGCGUGGUUAAGACAUGCAAGUCGAACGGAACAGUCUGGUAGUAAUAUUAGGCUGUUCAGUGGCGAACGGGUGCGUAACACGUGGGUGACAUGCCGGGAAGAGAGGAAUAGCCCAGGGAAACUUGGAUUAAUGCCUCAUGUGGUCGAAAGACUAAAGGUGGUGAAAGCUGCCGCUUCCUGAUUGGCCCGCGGCCUAUCAGCUUGUUGGUGAGGUAAAGGCUCACCAAGGCUACGACGGGUAGCUGGUCUUAGAGGACGACCAGCCACACUGGAACUGAGACACGGUCCAGACACCUACGGGUGGCAGCAGUCGAGAAUCUUUCACAAUGGGGGCAACCCUGAUGGAGCGACGCCGCGUGGAGGAUAAGGUCUUCGGAUUGUAAACUCCUGUCAUGCGAGAGCAAGAUUUGUUUGGUAACUCGGGCAAAUUUGAUAGUAUCGCAAGAGUAAGAGACGGCUAACUCUGUGCCAGCAGCCGCGGUAAUACAGAGGUCUCAAGCGUUGUUCGGAAUCACUGGGCGUAAAGGGUGCGUAGGCGGCGCGGAAAGUCAGAUGUGAAAUCCGGGGGCUCAACCUCCGAAUUGCAUCCGAUACUACCGUGCUAGAGAACUGAAGGGGAGUCUGGAAUUCUCGGUGUAGCAGUGAAAUGCGUGGAUAUCGAGAGGAACACUAGUGGCGAAGGCGAGACUCUGGGCAGUAUCUGACGCUGAGGCACGAAGGCCAGGGGAGCGAACGGGAUUAGAUACCCCGGUAGUCCUGGCAGUAAACGGUGCAUGUUUGGUGUGGGAGGGUUCGACCCCUUCCGUGCCGUAGUUAACACGUUAAACGUGCCGCCUGGGAAGUAC